GGGCCGGUAGCUCAGUGGUAGAGCGCCUCAUUUGCAAUGAGGUGGUCGGAGGUUCGACUCCUCUCCGGUCCA
rnacentral:tRNA from 1 species